UGGUGUGAGAGGAAACAAACCCGGGGGGCUGGAUUUAUAGAAGGAGGGGGGUGUAUGUCUGAUGGUGUGUCUGAAGCACAGGAUCAGUUUCCCAGAGUGAAAGAGCUAGGAAAAGUGGGGACCUUAAUUAUCAGUACAGAGUGGUCCUGAGCAGAAUCACAGCAAAGGUGAGGUGUGAUAGAUACCAAAAAGAGUCAAAUAUGCACAAGUCCUGGAGAGUGCUGUGACUGUACCAGAACAGGAGCUGCAGACCCAGUCUGGUGAUGACUGAAAGGAGGAACAUGACUGUGUGCAUGCUGUAGGUGCUGAAGUUCCUCCUUGUGGCUCUGUUUCACAGCUACACAAUUGAGAUGCUUUUGCAGAGGAAAUGGUUACAUCUGAAUCCCCUGAGACACAGAUGAGCUAGAAGGAAAUAUGGAGUGAGUGAAGCUGUUCUAGUCUACGGAGGAGUUCAUGUGUCACCACCCUUCUAGGAGUGCUGAGCUUCUACUUUUUACUGGAAGUUAUCCUUGCAGUGUCCUGAUGAAGUGUUUUCAACGUGAUGUUGGUUUCUGGCUGGCCUUGGUUUUACUUUGAUCCACCAGACCAUCUUCUUCAGCUUGCACUAACCAAGAGCUGGGAUCUUUCUUCAGUGGCUUUCUGGCUCUGGGAUAUAUCAUGAGGCCAAACCCACAAAAGGGCAGAGAGAAGACCAAAGCUAAAGCUGUGGAAGGCAUCAGAAAUGCUUCCAAGUUUUCAGGUGGGUUUUGGUCAAAUCUACUUCUCUCUUGCCUUUCCCUCUUACUCCAGCAUGAAGACAAACCUUUGACAUGGGAUGUUUUUGAAGGCAACCCCAGUUCCUUAAUCACAUUGAGAGGUUUCAUCUGACAACCCUGGGGACUGAAUGUGACCUUCUGUUGUUACCACAUGACACAGAGAGUAAAUUUCCAGGCUUUAUUUCCCCCAUUUUCAGCCCUCAUUCACUGCUGUUGUCACUUCACAACCCUUGAAAUAUUCCUGCUUAGACAAGGAGGAGGAGCUACAUGGACUGAAUUCUCCAGCUGCAUCUAGUUGGCAUCUGCCACUGGGAAAAUUAAAUAAAUGUUUCUAUUCUAAUGGUUUGAGCAGGAUGUGUCAUUUUGCACCUAUGUGCCUUUUCUGCUGUGUCCACUGGGGUGUGUUCCCAGUGAUCCACACUGGUAACAACCUGCUGUGGAAGUCUGCAUCCAGAAAAGAGCUCAUUUGGAGGCAAAGGAGAUGGAGGAGGUAAUCUACAUUUUCAGAAAUAACAGAGAAGUGGAUGGGCGAAACAUGCUGAAGAGGUAGACACUCACAGAGCUGACUGGAGAGAAGGGAAAAGGCCAUUGCUCCUGUGGAGAUUCGGUUCUGUCUUAACCUCCACCUGCUGUGGACUUUCCCAGCUUGUUCUCCAUUUCCCCUUGCCUUUUGGAUCCCAUCCCUAUCCUCUGUGGGAAAGCGCUGGCAGCAGACAGCUGCUAGGGAUCAGAUCCAAGAAGUGGUUCCAUGCUCAAAGCCAGAUGUGUGGCAACAGAACGUGGAUGAGGAGGCGGAGAGGAAAGAAGCUGGGAAGGAUAACUUUGAACAGCUGGGAGAGAAGUACGGAGCUGUUUGUCCCAUGCCCAUGACACAAGCAGCGGAAGGACAAGAACUUUCUGAAGCUGAGCUCUGAUAUCAGGAAGAGCCUCCGUGUGCUGCUGGGUUAGAUGUGAUGGCUGUCCAGGAGCUGAAUGGACUCUUCACUGAAACCUCUCGCAUUAUACAUUCUGAAGGAUGGGGAAGUAGGAGGUGGCCUUUCUCAACUGGCAUUUUUCCAAAACAGAAGAACAAUACAAAUCCAUAAACAUUCUCAUGUGCUGCCACAGAGUUGCUAACUGGAUCACGUGCCCGAUCCUUCAACACUGCAGUAUGUGGAGCACAGAAGAGGGACUGCAUUUCAUGGUACAGUCUUGAGCGUAUCGCGUAAGUGCUAUUUAGUGAACCCACAGGCUUGUUCUGGACAUGCUGUUGGGGAGUAUUGCUAAAACCCAAGAACAUUUACCUCCACAUUGAUUUUCAGAAGCCAUUUUUGCAAUAUGUCAAGACAAAAAUCACUGCCAAAACAUCCUCUCUGUCCAUCCAGUCAGACGUUUAGGAUGAUGGACAUUUAAGAGUCUUUACUUGGCACCAGGCUAAUGAUUUGAGGUUGCUGCCACGCACAAAGAGAUACCACCACCAGGUUCAAAAACAAUAGAAGAGGGAUUUUUUUCAAUAAGUGAAUUGAUUCCUAAUUAAAUCAGGUAUAAUUACCAAAUGACUGGUGAGUUUUCUGUGAUGAAAUUCUCCUUGGCUGCAAGCAUGUAAAGUUGCUAGCUCAAAAACCUCAAACUGUGCAUGGAAACACAGUACAUGUAAUUAGAUUACAGAUUCAAAGAGAUUUUAUCAAAACAUUUGUGAGAACCAAAUAAAAAGCUGAAAUUUGGAAAAAGUAAAAAUAAACACAAUAAAAAAAUUUAAAUCAGAAUAGUAGCUGUAAAAUGUUUACCAUUUGGACAGUGCACAAAUGCAUGGUGGGGAAGUGUUAUAUGAACUCCAGAUGUAACAAGUGUGGGGCACACCAUAUUGAGUCAUACAUGCUCUGCUAUGUGACAAAGAUGAAGCUAGGUUCUGCGAUGAUGAAUUUUAAGGUAUGGGCAUGUGAUGAAAAAGGGCAGACUUAAGGCUUAAGUUUUCCGCCAUCCUUCUAAAUUACCUUGAUUAGUGUUACAUAGACAAUGGCUGUUUUGCACAGGAUGUUUUAUUUUAGCAUUAAUCUCAACUCUCUCCCUCCUCUUCACCUCUCUGGAUCUCUGGGAAUGAGAGUGGUUCUCACAGGAGUGCUUUCCUGUGACCCAAUUAUCUAAACAAAUAAAAUAACAUAAAAGGGUCCCCACCUAAGUCAUGUCAUGCUAACUUAAACUGUUUUUUAUCUUCUGAAAGGAGAAGCUAAAAAUACACAUUGUUUGUUUGUGACCAGUGAUAAAUGGACCAUGCCUCCUGCCCUCAGGGACUAAGAAGCCAAAUCACAAAUGAACUAAAUAUCACUGCGUAUAUCCCUGUCUUCAGCACUCUCAGCAGAAAAUCUGGAUUUUUUUUGAUUAAGAAGAGAUGUGCUUCUCUCCUCUCAAACUCUACAUGCCCUUACCUAUAUAGCAGUAAGGCCUCUGUGUUGCAAACAAAAGGGGCCUGAGAAGAGAUCAGUUUUAGGGAAAAUUAACCUAGGUGCUUAUGUGGGAUCCAGGUCAUGGCAAGGGACACUGGUUUCAGUGUGUUUUACUUCAUAUGAUUCGGUAGAUGUACAGAAAGAAAGAAAGGUGGUGGGUUCUUCUCUGCCCAGUGAGUUACCUCCCUGCCUUAGAUACAUAGGAAGAGUAGCUGAACUCCAUUUACCCCUAUUUACUCUCUAUCACACCCAUUUAUAGUCAGUAUCUCAAAACUUCAGGGAACAGAAAUGAAGCCACAAAGUCCUCGGGGCAGGGACUUCAGCAGCUCCUGUGCCUCUGACACACAAAAGGUGCAGUAAAAUGGAAUAUUACUGGAUCACUGCUGAAAAUCUUGAGCUAUGAUUUGAUUCUGUGUGAGAUUUUAUAUACCGAUAUUUGCCUCAGGGCCAGUCUGCUAUUUAUGAGAUUAAUUUCACAGUCAAUUCACAAGGAAGAUCAUGAAUGUCAGAUAUUCAGGACUCUCCUCAUGCCAUCUAUUCCAUUGUUUAUUUGGAGAGUUUUAUAUAUUGUAUUUGUUAUUCCAUAUCAGCUAUUCUCUAGUUUUUAAGACUGUGGCCAAUCGGUCAGGAAGAGGUUGCAGAUCCUGUAACUCUGGGUCUGGAUUGGCAACCUAGUCAAUCCACUGCCAGAAACUGUCAGACAUCGCCAGGUGAUAAUUCAUCAAAAUCAUGGGCCGAAAGGAACAGAAACAGACAGACAAGAGCAAUUCAGUUCUUCCCCCAUCCCAAAUCCCCUUGUUCCUCCCAAAUUCUAACACUGUUUUUGGACAGAAGAUCUUCUGAGGUUAGAGAAAGGGAUUUAUGGAACUGCUCUGCAGUGAUCUAGCAAUAAAAUAAAUUUGCUUGUAACAUCAUUCAUUUUCCCCAUUUUAAAAAAAAUUCCUCCCCCUCACUGCAGUUAAUUAGUACUGUAGUUUCCCCUGGAAGCAAGCAACAUCCAAACCAAACCCUUUGUGUAACCACCGACCACUCUGAACUCCAUCAGCUCCCUCACCCCACCUGCCUUUUUCAUCUUCCCUGUGGGAAGACUUUCCCAUUAGCCAAAAGGAAGUUUUUUUCUUUCUUUUCAUAUGUCAGCAUCAGAAUUAAGUGCAGCAGGGAGACUGCCAUGUUAAAGGUCAGUUGCAUAAGUUCUCUUAAAUGGCAAUUAAACGAUUCUAUGACAAACAGGAUGCACUCGGAGUGCAGACAUCAGCUCCGACCUUGGGACCUGGGAUAGUCUGGGAAAGAAAAAAACACUUUGGGAAAAUAAACAUAACACCCAAAACUGUAAAAGCAGAUGAAUCAGCAGAGAAACUCUAUAAUUUUCCCUAUGUCGCUAGGGAAAUGCAAAAUGUAGUAACACUUUAAUUUCUUGCAAACAGGCUGUCUUAAGAUCAGCUGUUCAUCCUACACUGUUAAAAACAACCUGUCAAAUUACCCAUUGCCAGCCCUGCGAGUGAUCAGGCAUUUCAGCAAUUUGAGGGUAGAAGAGUCAUAUUAAGGCCACAUCUGGUAAAAGAUGCCUAAGACCCUUCAGCUCUGCUGGACACCAUUGAAGGAGGUUAAGGUCUGCAUGUAGAAAGGGCUACAGUGGGAUGCAGGGUGGAUGCAUAAGGACCAGAUGUCCUGGAUGUAUUGUAUUUUCUGCCUGGGUAAAACAAUGCACAAGGCAAAGCAAACGGGAGUUGGAGGACCCCAAGGAAGACUUCAGUUAGUCUAGGCAUAACCUGAUUCACAGCACAAAUCUGGAAAGUGUCAGUAAGCCAGGUGUUUUUCUGACAAUGAGCUGUUGACCUGCCUUACAAAGCUCAUUGGGCACAGUAUGAUAUGGAAAGGAAGCAAGCAAUAAAAAGUACCAUGAAUGAGGAGAGAAAAAAAGACAUGCUUGCCAGCUAGUUCCAGAUCUACAAGAUCUGGAGUGGAUUUCACUGAGGAGAAAUUGAGUCAAAAGAUAUUCUCUUGAGAGCCAUUUUCCUGAGAAAGCAGAAAGCAGAGAAAUGCAGCGCAGUUUGGUCUAGGGUGUACCUCCUUGGAAG